rnacentral:rRNA from 1 species
AUUGAACGCUGGCGGCAGGCCUAACACAUGCAAGUCGAACGAGUGGCGGACGGGUGAGUAAUGUCUGGGAAACUGCCCGAUGGCGGGGGAUAACUACUGGAAACGGUAGCUAAUACCGCAUACCAUCGGAUGUGCCCAUAUGGGAUUAGCUAGUAGGUGGGGGAAAGGCUCACAUAGGCGACGAUCUCCAGCUGGUCUGAGAGGGUGAUCGGCCACACUGGAACUGAGACACGGCCCAGACUCCUACGGGAGGCAGCAGUGGGGAAGAUUGCACAAUGGGCGAAAGCCUGAUGCAGCCAUGCCGCGUGUAUGAAGAAGGCCUUAGGAUUGUAAAGUACUUUCAGCGGGGAGGCGUUACCCGCAGAGAAAGCACCGGCUAACUCCGUGCCAGCAGCCGCGGUAAUAC